rnacentral:rRNA from 1 species
GCGCAGCAGUCGCGAAACCUCCGCAAUACACGAAAGUGUGACGGGGCCAUCCCGAGUGCCGUCCGCUGAGGACGGCUUUUCCCCAGUGUACACAGCUGGGGGAAUAAGGAGAGGGCAAGCCUGGUGUCAGCCGCCGCGGUAAUACCAGCUCUCCGAGUGGUGGGGACGCUUAUUGGGCCUAAAGCAUCCGUAGCCGGCUGGGCAAGUCCUCCGUUAAAUCCAACGAUUCAAUCGUUGGGCUGCGGGGGAUACUGUCCAGCUUGGGGGGCGGGAGAGGCCGACGGUAUUCCCGGGGUAGGGGUGAAAUCCUAUAAUCCCGGGAGGACCACCAGUGGCGAAGGCUGUCGGCUAGAACGCGCCCGACGGUGAGGGGAUGAAAGCUGGGGGGAGCGAACCGGAUUAGAUACCCCGGUAGU